AAAAGAAAGAGGUGAGAUACCAUGAUCACAAAGGUAGUUUUCUCAGGGUAAGGCUUAUCAACUGUACUCCAGAUAUGGUGACUCCUGGGAUUUCACCAAAUGUGGGAAACUCAAGUACAUAAUUCAUGGCAGUGGAGGACUCUGCUCACACACACCCCUG